rnacentral:rRNA from 1 species
GGAGCGGCUUGACGGGAUGAUUUACGCUGUGGGAACGUGCCCUUUGCUACGGAAUAGCUCCGGGAAACUGGGAUUGAUACCGUAUGAGCCCUUUGGGGGAAAGAUUUAUCGGCCAAGGAUCGGCCCGCGUUGGAUUAACUAGUUGGUGGGGUAAAGGCCUACCAAGGCGACAAUCCUUAGCUGGUCUGAGAGGAUGAUCAGCCACAUUGGGACUGAGACACGGCCCAAACUCCUACGGGAGGCAACAGUGGGGAAUAUUGGACGAUGGGCGCAAGCCUGAUCCAGCCAUGCCGCGUGAGUGAUGAAGGCCUUAGGGUUGUAAAGCUCUUUCACCGGAGAAGAUAAUGACGGUAUCCGGAGAAGAAGCCCCGGCUAACUUCGUGCCAGCAGCCGCGGUAAUACUAAGGGGGCUAGCGUUGUUCGGAAUUACUGGGCGUAAAGCGCACGUAGGCGGACGCUUAAGUCAGGGGUGAAAUCCCAGAGCUCAACUCUGGAACUGCCUUUGAUACUGGGUGUCUUGAGUAUGGAAGAGGUAAGUGGAAUUCCAAGUGUAGAGGUGAAAUUCGUAGAUGUUCGGAGGAACACCAGUGGCGAAGGCGGCUUACUGGUCCAUUACUGACGCUGAGGUGCGAAAGCGUGGGGAGCACACAGGAUUACAUACCCUGGUAGUCCACGCCGUAAACGAUGAAUGUUAGCCGUCGGGCAGUUGACUGUUCGGUGGCGCCGCUGACGCACUAAACAUUCCGCCUGGGGAGUACGGUCGCAAGAUUAAAACUCAAAGGAAUUG